rnacentral:rRNA from 1 species
CACAAGCGGUGGAGCAUGUGGUUAAUUCGACGCAACGCGAAGAACCUUACCAGGGCUUGACAUCCCCUGACCGCGUAUGAAAGUACGUUUUCACCCUCGGGUGACAGGGAGACAGGUGGUGCAUGGUUGUCGUCAGCUCGUGUCGUGAGAUGUUGGGUUAAGUCCCGCAACGAGCGCAACCCCUACGUUUAGUUGCUAACGCGUGAAGGCGAGCACUCUAGACGAACUGCCGUUGACAAAACGGAGGAAGGUGGGAUGACGUCAAAUCAUCAUGCCCCUUAUGUUCUGGGCUACACACGUGCUACAAUGGCCGGUACAGACGGAGGCGAAGCCGCGAGGCGGAGCAAAUCCGAAAAAGCCGGUCUCAGUUCGGAUUGCAGGCUGCAAUUCGCCUGCAUGAAGUCGGAAUCGCUAGUAAUCGCAGGUCAGCAUACUGCGGUGAAUACGUUCCCGGGCCUU